rnacentral:rRNA from 1 species
UGGCGACCGGCGCACGGGUGCGUAACGCGUAUGCAACUUGCCCUAUACAGGAGGAUAACCCGUCGAAAGACGGACUAAUACUGCGUAUGCUCACAUCUUGGCAUCAAGAAGUGAGGAAAGAAAUUCGGUAUAGGAUAGGCAUGCGUCCCAUUAGCUUGUUGGUGAGGUAACGGCUCACCAAGGCAACGAUGGGUAGGGGAACUGAGAGGUUUAUCCCCCACACUGGUACUGAGACACGGACCAGACUCCUACGGGAGGCAGCAGUGAGGAAUAUUGGUCAAUGGGCGCGAGCCUGAACCAGCCAAGUCGCGUGAAGGAUGACUGUCUUAUGGAUUGUAAACUUCUUUUAUACGGGAAUAACAAGAGUCACGUGUGACUCCCUGCAUG